rnacentral:rRNA from 1 species
UGGGGAAUUGUUCGCAAUGGGCGCAAGCCUGACGACGCAACGCCGCGUGGAGGAUGAAGACCUUCGGGUCGUAAAGCCCUGUCGUAGGGAAAGAACUGGUUGCAGGCUAAUAUCCUGCAGCCUUGACGGUACCCUACAAGAAAGCACCGGCUAACUCCGUGCCAGCAGCCGCGGUAAUACGGAGGGUGCAAGCGUUGUUCGGAAUUACUGGGCGUAAAGCGCACGUAGGCGGCUAUUUAAGUCUGAUGUGAAAGCCCUGGGCUCAACCCAGGAAGUGCAUUGGAUACUGGGUAGCUGGAGUACCGGAGAGGAGGGUGGAAUUCCUGGUGUAGCGGUGAAAUGCGUAGAUAUCAGGAGGAACACCGGUGGCGAAGGCGUCCCUCUGGCCGGAUACUGACGCUGAGACGCGAAAGCGUGGGGAGCAAACAGGAUUAGAUACCCAUGUAGUCCCUGAGCGGGCUGGCAAGGCGCAU